rnacentral:rRNA from 1 species
AGUGAACGCUGGCGGUAGGCCUAACACAUGCAAGUCGAACGGCAGCACAGGAGAGCUUGCUCUCUGGGUGGCGAGUGGCGGACGGGUGAGGAAUACAUCGGAAUCUACCUUUUCGUGGGGGAUAACGUAGGGAAACUUACGCUAAUACCGCAUACGACCUACGGGUGAAAGUGGGGGACCGCAAGGCCUCACGCGAUUAGAUGAGCCGAUGUCCGAUUAGCUAGUUGGCGGGGUUAUGGCCCACCAAGGCGACGAUCGGUAGCUGGUCUGAGAGGAUGAUCAGCCACACUGGAACUGAGACACGGUCCAGACUCCUGCGGGAGGCAGCAGUGGGGAAUAUUGGACAAUGGGCGCAAGCCUGAUCCAGCCAUACCGCGUGGGUGAAGAAGGCCUUCGGGUUGUAAAGCCCUUUUGUUGGGAAAGAAAUCCUGUCGAUUAAUACUCGGUGGGGAUGACGGUACCCAAAGAAUAAGCACCGGCUAACUUCGUG